AAGUCGUAACAAGGUUUCCGUAGGUGAACCUGCGGAAGGAUCAUUAAUGAAGUAAACUUGGUGUAGGCUGCUGCUGGCUCCUCGGAGCACGUGCACGUCUAUUCCGACUUUAUACCCACCCACCUGUGCACUUUGUGUAGAUCUGAAUAAAUGUCGAGGUGAACUCGGUCUGAGGGAUUGCCGUGUGAUCUUUCGCCGGCUUUUCCUUACACUUCAGAUCUAUGUUCCAAUAUACUCCAUGUCAAAUACGAUUGAAUGAUAUUGCUAGGCAUUAUAUGUCUAUAAUAUAUAUAUAUAACAACUUUCAACAACGGAUCUCUUGGCUCUC
rnacentral:misc_RNA from 1 species